rnacentral:lncRNA from 10 species
GUGGGGCCUUGGAGAACCUUUGUGUAGACACUCUGUAUCUAACUAAUCUGGUGGGGACGUGGAGAACCUUUGUGUCUAGCGCAGGGAUUGUAAAUGCACCAAUCAGUGCCCUGACAAAACAGACCACUCGGCUCUACCAAUCAGCAGGACGUGGGUGGGGCCAGAUAAGAGAAUAAAAGCAGGCUGCCCGAACCAGCAUUGGCAACCCGCUGGGGUCCGCUUCCACACUGUGUAGGCUUUGUUCUUUCGCUCUUUGCAAUAACUCUUGCUACUGUGCACUCUUUGGGUCUAUACUGCUUUUAUGAGCUGUAACACUCACCGCGAAGGUCUGCAGCUUCACUCCUGAAGCCAGUGAGACCACGAGCCCACCGGGAGGAACUAACAACUCCAGACGCGCUGCCUUAAGAGCUGUAACACUCACUGCGAAGGUCUGCAGCUUCACUCCUGAGCCAGUGAGACCACGAACCCACCAGAAGAAAGAAACUCCGAACACAUCUGAACGUCAGAAGGAACAAACUCCAGACGUGCCACCUUAAGAACUGUAACACUCACCGAGAGGAUCUGCGGCUUCAUUUUUGAAGGCAGUGAGACCAAGAACCCACCAAUUCCGGACCCAGCAUGAACCACAGAGCCUGGCCAAUAGAUGCGUCUUGAGCCCCUAGUCUCCAUUAAGUAUUUUAAAAGGAAAUGAUCAGAGGCUCACCUGAACUAUUAUCCAUCCAAAAGUGGGAUUCAAAGAAGGAAGAGGGCCUAGAAAUGAGAAAGAAGCGAAAAAUAUGUUUGUUGAAAGGUCAACAUGGGUGUUUGGAAGAGGUAAUGCUAAUGAGGUAUUCGUAAAAUUGGAGGUAGGCAACUUUGCUUUUGAUACCCGUUAUCACCAUUCCAUUGCCCCAGUAAAUGUAAAUUCCUUAAGUGUUUGGCACAUACGAUACGACGUCCAAUAGAUACUUGUUGAAUAAGGUAACUUUUUCCUUCUUUUUGAUUAUUCCCUGAGAAAUAAGUGUCCUGGUGCUGCCCCCUGGUGGCUAAAGGAUCCCUUCAUUGGGAGCCCAAACCCUCCUUGGCAAUGCCGUGGGCUGGGAACCAUGGCUCUGUUUGACUGUAUAGUUCCCCUUCCUCACAAAGGAUAUUAAGGAUGUUAAAGGGUAUCAGU